rnacentral:rRNA from 1 species
UGGCGUGGGGGAGCAAACAGGAUUAGAUACCCUGGUAGUCCACGCCGUAAACGAUGUCGACUUGGAGGUUGUGCCCUUGAGGCGUGGCUUCCGGAGCUAACGCGUUAAGUCGACCGCCUGGGGAGUACGGCCGCAAGGUUAAAACUCAAAUGAAUUGACGGGGGCCCGCACAAGCGGUGGAGCAUGUGGUUUAAUUCGAUGCAACGCGAAGAACCUUACCUGGUCUUGACAUCCACNGAANNUUNNAGAGAUNNGANNGUGCCUUCGGGAACNGUGAGACAGGUGCUGCAUGGCUGUCGUCAGCUCGUGUUGUGAAAUGUUGGGUUAAGUCCCGCAACGAGCGCAACCCUUAUCCUUUGUUGCCAGCGGUCCGGCCGGGAACUCAAAGGAGACUGCCAGUGAUAAACUGGAGGAAGGUGGGGAUGACGUCAAGUCAUCAUGGCCCUUACGACCAGGGCUACACACGUGCUACAAUGGCGCAUACAAAGAGAAGCGACCUCGCGAGAGCAAGCGGACCUCAUAAAGUGCGUCGUAGUCCGGAUUGGAGUCUGCAACUCGACUCCAUGAAGUCGGAAUCGCUAGUAAUCGUGGAUCAGAAUGCCACGGUGAAUACGUUCCCGGGCCUUGUACACACCGCCCGUCACACCAUGGGAGUGGGUUGCAAAAGAAGUAGGUAGCUUAACCUUCGGGAGGGCGCUUACCACUUUGUGAUUCAUGACUGGGUAA